GACGAACCGUGCGAACGUUAUUCGGAAUCACUGGGCUUAAAGGUGCGUAGGCGGGCACGCGAGUCAGGGGUGAAAUCCCACGGCCCAACCGUGGAAGUGCCUCUGAUACCGCGAGCCUCGAGGGGGAUAGGGGCGUGCGGAACUUCCGGUGGAGCGGUGAAAUGCGUAGAUAUCGGAAGGAACACCGGUGGCGAAAGCGGCGCGCUGG
rnacentral:rRNA from 1 species